GCUGCAGCUGUCAUGCCAACACUUAAACUCUGUGUACUGUGAGCCACCAUCACGUCAGAGAAGAUGCACCAAGCACAACACCAAGAGUACAUAGGAUCCAAAGAGAAUAAGGUGGGAGUAUUAAAGCAGAAUGGAACCAAAUUCAUCCACUGCAGUUGAUGGUUACACUAGGGUCUGAAUUUGGUCCAGUGCAUUUAACCACGUUCACCAUAUUCCUGUGAUACAGUUUUAAAAUAUUUUAUGAUUUGGAUCUUGUAUGAUUUUAAACUUGUAGGUUUUUGAGGUGCCUGGAAUGCUGUGGCAGGUGACCCAAUGAUCCUGUUCCCCCCCCCCCCCCAACCUUUAACCCUUCCAUUAUUAUUAAAGCCCUACACUACAGUGAUCUCCCUUCAGGCAGGGGGUGGGGCACUGGAUGGGACAAUUUUUGGAAGCUACAAGUGCUGCUCCUUCAUUUAAUAAGAGACACUUCCAGAAUCUACACUCCUAGGGGCUUGAUCCUGCAAGUAGCGCAAUAUCUCCUGAAGAUACCGAAUGCAGUCAACCCAUUAAAGUCCGUUUGAGUUGAGGGCACUCUGCAGAUUGGAGGAUUGGCAUCUAAAGAGAAAGGGUCUGAUCCCUUUGGCAACAGGAGCUGGAUUAGACCCUAAAACCUGGACUGGGAGUCAAAUCCUGGAG